GACGAACGCUGGCGGCGUGCUUAACACAUGCAAGUCGAACGGACAGACAGAGAGCUUGCUCUCUUGAAGUUAGUGGCGAACGGGUGAGUAACGCGUAAUCAACCUGCCCUUCAGAGGGGGAUAACAACGGGAAACCGUUGCUAAUACCGGGUACGAUUCAUGAACGGCAUCGUUUAUGAAUGAAAGGUGGCCUCGAUGUAUAAGCUAUCGCUGACGGAGGGGAUUGCGUCUGAUUAGCUAGUUGGAGGGGUAACGGCCCACCAAGGCAAUGAUCAGUAGCCGGUCUGAGAGGAUGAACGGCCACAUUGGGACUGAGACACGGCCCAAACUCCUACGGGAGGCAGCAGUGGGGAAUUUUCCGCAAUGGACGAAAGUCCGACGGAGCAACGCCGCGUGAGUGAUGAAGGUCUUCGGAUUGUAAAGCUCUGUUAAUCGGGACGAAAGAGUUCUGCGUGAAUAAUGCAGAAAAGUGACGGUACCGGAAUAGAAAGCCACGGCUAACUACGUGCCAGCCGCCGCCGUAA
rnacentral:rRNA from 1 species